AUCCUUUUGUAGUUCAUGAGCAUGAUGAUUGGGUGUUCCUGCAUGUUUGUGAGAUGUGCCACCCUUGAACCUUGUUAUGACAUCAGCACAUUACCUGUUAGACC
ensembl:snoRNA